rnacentral:lncRNA from 10 species
GCAGCAUUUCAGCUAACUGGGGCUAGUUAGGGGGGCAUGUUUUCAGGGCAAAGCUAAACUUCCCAGUACCUCUUAAAUCAUGCACAGUAUGUAGCAGCCCCUUCCCACUCUGGGCAAAGCCAUCUAUGGCCCUGGUGCCUGCUGCACUUCAAUAUGGGCAUGUGUCAAGCACCAACAUCUAAAAGGGGAACCACACCAGCAUGAAGCUGCCUCCACCCUCCCCACAUUCACUCACACUGUCUUCUUCAGCAGGUACAUAGGCCGAGGAAGCAAAGGGGGACUCAGAGCCCACAGCCCAUGUGGAAGAGAAUGUGGCAUUUCUGCAGAAUCACGUGCUUCCGAAAGCCUGGAUUUGUUCACAGGGUAGUUCCUGGGGGAUGCUGCCAACUUUUAAGGCCUGGAUUUAGACUUUACCACAUCUCCCCUGGAGAAAAGGGUUCUCCCCUGGCCUGUCAUGCAGUUAUCUCAGCCGGGCUGCACCCUCGGCUGCCAAAGGACUCCCUGCCGUGGCUUGCAGGGGGACCCGUCCGCUCAACCCCUCUCUCAGUAAAAGAGUUGGAGCACAAAUUAAUUUGGUAGGUGCCAGAAAUAAGUAGGGGAGGAGGGAGGUGAGCCGGUGGACAGAAAGCAGUGGAUACAGGG